AAACGACGUCGUUUUAC
rnacentral:sRNA from 1 species